AACAAAGUUUAAUUUUGGACCCUUUUGACCUCAAUGUGGACCAAUUUGAUAACGGGGCCCAAAAAUCAAUAAACAGCUGCGCCAUGAGCGCAUGAUACGCCCGUUGCCUUGUGUGUGAAUUUUUAUGCAAUAAGUAUAAAUAGUUUCUGACAUACGGCGUGACAUGCGAAAACCCCCUUUUUUUUUUUUACAAAAAACUCAAUAUCUCAAAAAUAAAAUUUUGAAUCAAAACCAAAAAGUAUACAGAUCUUUAGAUUAAUAUAACUAAGAAGUGUGUUAAAUUUUAAGCAAUAAUCAUGAAUCGUUUUUGAGAUACGGCGCGACAUGUGAAAACCCCCCUUUUAAAAAAAAAAAAAUCAAUAUCUCAAAAAUAAAAUUUUGAAUCAAAACCAAAAAGUAUACAGAUCUUUAGAUUAAUAUAACUAAGAAGUGUGUAAAAUUUUAAGCAAUAAUCAUAAAUCGUUUUUGAGAUACGGCGCGACAUGUGAAAAAUCCCUCCCCCUUUUUUUACAAAAUACUCAAUAACUCAAAAAUAAAAUUUUGAAUCAUCACCAAAAAGUAUACAGAUCUUAAGAUUAAUAUAACUAAGAAGUGUGUAAAGUUUUAAGCAAUAAUCAUAAAUUGUUUUUGAGAUACGGCGUGACAUGUGAAAAAAAACCACACACCUGUUUUAGUUACUAAGUCCCGUAACUCAAAAAGUU